rnacentral:lncRNA from 1 species
CAUCGAAUCCCCCAUCCCUCCCUUUUCUCACUCUGUAAUUUCCCUCAAAUCCCUCGCCGAUUCUCUCUCGCCAUUCUCAGUCUACCCUUUCUCAGCUUGCAGCUCCAUGCUCCACCUCGAGAUUAUAGCAUCCCUCCCUUUUCUCACUCUGUAAUUUCCCUCAAAUCCCUCGCCGAUUCUCUCUCGCCAUUCUCAGUCUACCCUUUCUCAGCUUGCAGCUCCAUGCUCCACCUCCAGAUUAUAGCAUCGGGUGUAAGGUUUUCCUUUUCUGUUUUCUUUUUCCCGAUUUGUUGAAUUUGUAUUUUAUUGUUUGCCUAUUACCCUUUGACGACAAGGUAGCAAUUGUGACGGCUUCCACUCAAGGCAUCGGCUCUUGAAGGCGCCUCCGUCGUCAUCUCCUCCCGCAAGCGUUGUAGAGUUUACCUUUUGAUUUGUAUGUGUUUCGAAGCCUGUGUUGAACUAUCUUAUUAAUAAAGUUUCUAAGGUUGUAGAGUUUACCUUUUGAUUUGUAUGUGUUUCGAAGCCUGUGUUGAUCCGUUUCGGAAUUGCAGUCGUUGAUAAGAUAGUUCUAAUGGUAAUUGUUUUAUCUUUCAUUAGGUGAACUUGGAACAUCUGGCAAAUUGGGAAGAGAAGCAGAUGUUCAAACAGUAAAUGGGUGUGUGUGUUUACAGAUGUGUGGAUGCAUUUAGUUUAUCUUCUCCAAAAGCAUCUUUAUAAUGAAGAUAACAUGAAUUUGCUAGGGUUUUUUUUUCAUUUUUUAUAUUUUGGGUAGAAAUUUGUUGUUGUUGUUUCUUACAAUUUGAGUAGAAAUUUGUUUCCAUUUUAGUAGGUUCAUGGAAGAUCACAGUACAGCUAGCUUCCCGUUGAAAAGUAAGCUUCUAUUGUAUUAGCUUGGGGCAGUUUAAUUUACUUGCCAGAAAAGAAAAAGUUAUAAAGCCUUGUUCCUGCUGUUGUGGUGUCUCCUUUUAGGUAGAAAUUAUAUCUUAAUGUGCUUAAGCACCUGAAUUUAGGCUAGGUCUAAUGAAAUGAUAUGCUAUAUUUUAUAGAUCAGUCACAAUAUUUUUGAACCUGAGGUUGUGGUGUUCACACUUUUUCUCUUAGGAUUUAGAGGACGAUACAGUGUGUGUAUGAUCUAAUUUGAGUGAAAUAUCCUUCUUGAUUUGCCUUAUUCUUUCAAGUGUUAUCAUAACUUUGUGUGUGAUUGAUCAUUGUGUAUAACCAAUAUACCAGACAACCAUAACCGAAAGCCAUGCCUGCAGAGACUGAACCAUAACCGAAGCCCAUGCCUGCAUCAAUUGAUUGAAAAGGUAAAAAUCAUUUCCGAAUCUUUUGUGCAAUGCGGUUAGGUUUGCACGGCCUAUUUAUUUGUUGCAUUUUAUUUUUGGCCUGAAAUUGUGCUGAUAUUUUCUAGGUUGUGUGAAAUUUCACUAAAUCAAAUAUGAAAUCGUCUUAAUUUUCAUGGCAUUAUCGAUAUUGGCCCCAAUUCUUUUUCUGUGAAUGAAGCUUGGAAACUGGAAUAGAUGGCCCUGGUUGUGUGAAAUGUUUGGCUGGGAUUUUGUAUUAUUCCAUUAAACAAAAUUAAUUCUCUAUGCGAAGCCAAAUAUUUGAUUUUUCACUGUGGUUUGUUACUUUGAUGGUUGAUCACAAAUGUAAUUUCUUUCUUUUUUUCUUAUGCGUUCUUUGUAGCGCCCUCCCCUCACUUUCUCGAUUAUUGGUUGGAAAUGCAAAAAUGGAUUAGCUGAGAAAAGGAGAGAUGUUAGUUUUCUACAUUUGACUAGAACCAUAUUUAAAACUUUGUAUAUCUGAAAUAUUAUUGAUCAAUUGUAACUUGCCCUGCUGCUAUUUGCUAAUGACAGAGGCUAGGAAGAUUGUACUUAUUCUGUUCGUAGAUGAUAGGCUAGAAAUUAAGUGUGUAUAGGGUUAAAUCAAUUGAUGCUAUAGUAUUUGUUAAAAUUGUUAGAUUUAGGGGUUUGGUAAAUUGAUUUUAGAGAUGUUAUUUUUAAGGUACCUUUGACUCUUAAUUGCCAUAUGGCAUUCAAUAUAUACUCUAUUGCUUGCUGGGGUUUACCCUUUGGAGCAUUUUAUUACGUUUCUUCUUGCUCUCUGACUGAAAAUUUUAAACGCUAUAGGUGAAUGUAGAUGCUGCAAAACCCGGCCCGAAAAAGGGAUGAAAGCUAGCAAUUCAACUUGCUACUGCGAUACACAGGUAUGUUGAAAGCUUUCCCAAAUCCUCUGUGGUUACACAAUUAUACAGGUGUGUAUGUACAGCUUUAUACAUGCAUCUAUGGAAAUACAUAUGUUUGAGCCUGGUUUUUGUUUUAAUUUAUAGGCUGGUUGUCAGGUUCUAGCUGUGUGAAGUUUAUGUCUUUAAUUUAAAUUUUUUAUGAAAGUAGCUCAUGUUUGCUUCCCCGGCAGUGGUUGUUCUGAUUUAGUGGUUAAAAAUGGAAAUUUCACUCGCAAUACGGGAUUAAUUGAGGUUCAUGCAUGCAUCAUUGGUGUAAAUUUGAGAGACAGAAUGAUAUAUGUAUGUGUAAAAUCCCUCCAUUUGGUUUUUUAUUGCAUUGUUUAGGUGGUGAAUUGCACAGAAAAUGGGGGAAGAGGGGUACAAAUUAUUUUACGAGUUUAAAAUUGCUCAUUUUGCACCACACACUAGCAGUUUGACUGUUAUCAAAUUGGAUGUGUGUUUUCUCUUGAUUUCAAUUCUUGGUUCUAUCCAUUUUGCACCCCUAUUAAUUCCCAAAUCAUUUGUCAUAUAGAAAAAACAGAGAGACAAUUAUGGAGUGCAUACUGAUGCUGCAUGCACUACCCAGUCUGCCAUCAACAGUGGUGUAAUACUUCAUUAGGUACACAGUACACUCAUUCCCUUUAUAAUUGGGUUUAGUACGAAAAUUUUCAAAAUUUUGAAGCUGGUAAAUAUGAUUUGGUUCUGUUUGAUUGAUUGUUUAUUUAGGGUUUUUCUUUAUAAUUCAGUAAAUGAUUGCUCCUUCGGCUAUAAAAUUUGACCCCUAUAAAUUUCAAGGUUAUUCUGGGACUUUGUCAACAGCGCCGAGUUCUCUUCACGGUGCAUCACUAUUCCGUGCAGCAUAGCUCGGUAGCAGUUAUAGGUGAGUCUCAAUUGCCCAGUACUGUUCAUCUUCUUUUGAAUUUCUGUGCAAAUAUUUUUGAAGUCCAAGUGAUUCAAAUUUCAAAUUUGUGUAAAUUGAUAAGUGUGGGUGUAGACACCCAAUAUGGCUUUUACAUGGUGUUGCUAUCUGGUUUUUGACAGAAUUAUAUUGGGGACUGUCCAGAUUUUGGUUUAGCUGCAGAUGAAGCAAGAUCAAAAGGUUAUAAAUUAGGGGUCUAUCUAGCUCUAGGCACAUAUAAUUUAGGGUCUUCUAAACAUUUAUACUCGACCGACCAUGUUGGCCGACGAUAAAUUCUAGAAUGCGCACGUUAUUAAUCUAGUGAGAACAUUAUCAACUGGACUUGUUGGAAACACCAUAGAGUCAUGCUCUCGUAAGGUCUUUAUUUUGAUGACAUGUCAAAUUGCAUACAACAGGGUAUCGACAAUCCUGAAACAUCUACCUCAGUGCUGAAAAAGGGCUUAACCCCAUAAAUCUAGUGAUGGUACGAGUAGAAAUUGGAAAUCAUAUGAAUCUAAGUUGGUUGAUCCACUUGCACUAAACUACGAGUCGGUCUCGGACGACGAUGAAAAUGACGAUGCUAAUGAAAUGAGUCUGAUGUUUCAAGUGAGUCAUCUUUACAGCCAUAUGAUUUGUGUAAUUUUCAGCAGCCAAGGAUAAUAUUCAUCCCGCUUGUGUAAUUUCACAAUUGGUCGACGUAGUUGCUGCACUUCGGAAUUCUGAUGAUGCUGAUAGGGUAAGUAAACCAUGUUCAUUGGUUUAAAAUUUUGUCAAAUGUUCUUACAAUAAUCAUAAGUUCUAAAAAAUGUUAGGCGCUAGUCGGGAGGAGAGUAGGGG